GCCAGGCGUGAUGGCGCACUCCUGUAAUCCCAGCUGCUCAGGAGGCUGAGGCAGGAGGACUGCAAGCCUGAGGUCAGCCUCUGCAACCUAGUGAGACCCUGCCUCAA
rnacentral:sRNA from 1 species